rnacentral:rRNA from 1 species
AUUGAACGCUGGCGGCAUGCUUUACACAUGCAAGUCGAACGGUAACAGGCCGCAAGGUGCUGACGAGUGGCGAACGGGUGAGUAAUGCAUCGGAACGUGCCCAGUCGUGGGGGAUAACUACUCGAAAGAGUAGCUAAUACCGCAUACGAUCUAUGGAUGAAAGCGGGGGACCGUAAGGCCUCGCGCGAUUGGAGCGGCCGAUGUCAGAUUAGGUAGUUGGUGGGGUAAAGGCUCACCAAGCCAACGAUCUGUAGCUGGUCUGAGAGGACAACCAGCCACACUGGGACUGAGACACGGCCCAGACUCCUACGGGAGGCAGCAGUGGGGAAUUUUGGACAGUGGGCGCAAGCCUGAUCCAGCAAUGCCGCGUGCAGGAAGAAGGCCUUCGGGUUGUAAACUGCUUUUGUACGGAACGAAACGGCUCUGGUUAAUACCCGGGGCUAAUGACGGUACCGUAAGAAUAAGCACCGGCUAACUACGUG